GCCUGGGUGGCGAAAUCGGUAUACGCAGUGGAUUCAAAAUCCACCGGUGGUGACACCUUGAGAGUUCGAGUCUCUCCCCAGGCA
rnacentral:tRNA from 1 species